GGAGUAAAGCUUGCCGUGAGAAGUCAGCAGAGGUCAUAGUACCGGGCGGUCGCAAACGCACCGGGAAGGAC
rfam:Clostridium clostridioforme CAG:132 genomic scaffold, scf372